UACGAAGGGGGCUAGCGUUGUUCGGAAUCACUGGGCGUAAUGGGCGCGUAGGCGGCUUUAUAAGUCGGGGGUGAAAGCCUGUGGCUCAACCACAGAAUUGCCUUCGAUACUGUAGAGCUUGAGACCGGAAGAGGUAAGUGGAACUGCGAGUGUAGAGGUGAAAUUCGUAGAUAUUCGCAAGAACACCAGUGGCGAAGGCGGCUUACUGGUCCGGUUCUGACGCUGAGGCGCGAAAGCGUGGGGAGCAAACAGG
rnacentral:rRNA from 1 species